rnacentral:rRNA from 1 species
AACCAACGCGGGCGGCGUGCCUCAGACAUGCAAGUCGAACGAUUAAAGCUCUCUUCGGAGAGUGCAUAGAGUGGCGCACGGGUGAGUAACACGUAAGUAAUCUACCUUCGAGUGGGGAAUAACGUCCGGAAACGGACGCUAAUACCGCAUAAUGCAGCGGCAUCGUAAGAUGACAGUUGUUAAAGAUUUAUCGCUUGAAGAGGAGCUUGCGGCAGAUUAGCUAGUUGGUAAGGUAAUGGCUUACCAAGGCUACGAUCUGUAACCGGUCUUAGAGGACGGUCGGUCACACUGACACUGAAUAACGGGUCAGACUCCUACGGGAGGCAGCAGUCGGGAAUUUUGGGCAAUGGGCGAAAGCCUGACCCAGCAACGCCGCGUGAAGGAUGAAGUAUUUCGGUAUGUAAACUUCGAAAGAAUAGGAAGAAUAAAUGACGGUACUAUUUGUAAGGUCCGGCUAACUACGUGCCAGCAGCCGCGGUAAU